UACGUAGGGGGCGAGCGUUGUCCGGAGUUACUGGGCGUAAAGGGCGUGCAGGCGGUGCAGUAAGUUUGGAGUGGCAGUACCCGGCUCAACUGGGUAAGGCCUUCGAAAACUGCUGGACUUGAGGGCCAGAGAGGGACAUAGAAUUCCGGGUGGAGUGGUGAAAUGCGUAGAUAUCCGGAGGAAUACCAAAGGCGAAGGCAGUGUCCUGGCUGGCAUCUGACGCUGAGGCGCGAAAGCUAGGGGAGCGAACAGG
rnacentral:rRNA from 1 species